UGGUGGUUGGGGGGAGGGGGAAGGGAGGGAGAGGAGAGGAGAGGAAAUGUCGAGCGUUGUUUACAUGGAAAAGGCUUCGAGCCGCUGACCGGCAGCCGCCAUGACACCGCCAGCAGCCCCGUGACGUCAGCGCCGGCAGUCACGCAUGCGCCUCCCCAGCCUCACCCUGCAAGAUGCCUGAAUUCUCAUUGCUACACAAAAAAGUGUUGUGUGGAAACAAAAAAAGAUGCGUUCAGUCGAAUUGCAUAAGACACCAUGCAGUCUAAGUGCACUGCUCCGCAGCUUCGAUAGAAAGCCUCUGCAAACUCCAGGAAUAAACAGCAAAGACAAUCUGUUUGCAGAUAAAUUAAGUUUUUCAGUAACAUGUGCAAAAUAAUGUGCUUUUCUUCAGCGUGCUAUGAAUGACCAUUGCUAGUGUUGCUCAAGACAACAGCGUCCCUUAAUGCAAAAAGGAAAACAAAGGAUCAUUAUCUGGCAGGAAAUUGUGACUGGUGGUUGUAAGCAUGCGCUCUGGGCACCCUGGUUACUUUCUUAAAGGAGUAUUAACAAUUAACUGUCGCCAACCUUCAAAAAGUCAUGGUUCACUGGUAACAAAAACAGAAUUACCUGGAAAAACUCAGCAGGUCUGGCAGCAUCGGCGGAGAAGAAAAGAGUUGACGUUUCGAGUCCAUGGUUCACUGGUAGCAGUUUGGCCUCUUGAAUCCAAAGGUAACCAUGGUAACGAUGAGCUUCACUGCCUUCCCUGUCCAACACCUCCCCCAGGGAUUAGGAGCCAAUCCUGGUACCCUAACUGCAACCUGGCUGCAAUCUACUCAUUCAGCACAGAUAAACGUUUGGAGCUGGGAUAUUUUGGUCAAAUUGGCUUGGUGCCACAUCAAACAAGCAUUUACACGUGAAGCCAUCAACAAAACCUGAUACUGCCAGACCUGCUUUUUUCUGGUUUUAUUUCAGCUAUCCAGCAUCUGUAGUAUUUUGCUUUUCUUUUUUGAUAUAGUUGUUUAAUUUUGUAGAUUAGAUGCAAGUCUAAUUCAUCCAAAGUUCAGAAAACCAGUUGU